ACGUAGAGUGUAAAGGCAAAAGAGAGCUUGAUUGCAAGACAUACAGGUCGAGCAAGGAUGAAAAUCGGACUUAGUGAUCCGGUGGUUCGGCGUGGAAGGGCCAUCGCUCAACGGAUAAAAGCUACCCGGGGGAUAACAGGCUUAUCUCCCCCAAGAGUCCACAUCGACGGGGAGGUUUGGCACCUCGAUGUCGGCUCAUCACA
rnacentral:rRNA from 1 species